rnacentral:lncRNA from 14 species
GCUGGUCCAGGGCCAACCGUUCCUGUGAAGUUACUGAUUAGAGGAGUUCAGCGGCUUCAAGUUCUGGUAAAGGACCACAGCUGGGGACCGAACCCAGAACUCUCAGUUUUGGAAGGGGAUUUGGAAGUUGUAUUGCGGAU